AGUGAACGCUGGCGGUAGGCCUAACACAUGCAAGUCGAACGGCAGCACAGUAAGAGCUUGCUCUUACGGGUGGCGAGUGGCGGACGGGUGAGGAAUACAUCGGAAUCUACUUUUUCGUGGGGGAUAACGUAGGGACACUUACGCUAAUACCGCAUACGACCUACGGGUGAAAGCAGGGGAUCUUCGGACCUUGCGCGAUUGAAUGAGCCGAUGUCGGAUUAGCUAGUUGGCGGGGUAAAGGCCCACCAAGGCGACGAUCCGUAGCUGGUCUGAGAGGAUGAUCAGCCACACUGGAACUGAGACACGGUCCAGACUCCUACGGGAGGCAGCAGUGGGGAAUCUUGGACAAUGGGCGCAAGCCUGACCCAGCCAUACCGCGUGGGUGAAGAAGGCCUUCGGGUUGUAAAGCCCUUUUGUUGGGAAAGAAAAGCAGCAGGUUAAUCCCCCGCUGUUCUGACGGUACCCAAAGAGUAAGCACCGGCUAACUUCGUG
rnacentral:rRNA from 1 species